rnacentral:rRNA from 1 species
UACGUAGGGUGCAAGCGUUAAUCGGAAUUACUGGGCGUAAAGCGUGCGCAGGCGGUUUCGUAAGUCUGUCGUGAAAUCCCCGGGCUUAACCUGGGAAUGGCGAUGGAGACUGCGAGGCUAGAGUUUGGCAGAGGGGGGUGGAAUUCCACGUGUAGCAGUGAAAUGCGUAGAGAUGUGGAGGAACACCGAUGGCGAAGGCAGCCCCCUGGGCUAACACUGACGCUCAUGCACGAAAGCGUGGGGAGCAAACAGG